rnacentral:lncRNA from 1 species
GUUCACUAUCUUGAAAGAAGUUAUUACAUCCAUCCAAGUACAUAGUUGAGUAACACAACAAAAACGAUUCACUCGUUAAAAUCCAAUACUAGAAGAAAAUAAAAGAAACUCCAAGUAAUAUAAGUUCUAGGCCUGCAUAACUGAAUUAAAAGCUCAACCAAUGACUCGAAGGUAUUAACUGGAGUUUCUUCUUCUCAUAGGCAACUUAUUAACACCUCCACCUCCGAAGGAACUUAUUGCCUUCAGCUUCUUUUUGUGUACUGUAUGUCCUGCAAUAAGUUUAUCAACACCAAGUUGGAAUUACAAUCGAAUUACAGAAACUUUCUACAAAUCGUUGCACGUUAAUAACAGGAUGCACAGUCAGAUAUAUUUGUAUCUGAACCAGAUAGGCAUGGCUGCAGUAAUCACUUUUUUUUCCAGGUUUAAAACCAGUGAGACCCGUUUUGAGACUAAAACCAAAAUAAAAUAUAUUUCUGUGGGGUCAAAGUUAACCCUUUAGAGAUUUGGCAGGGACCUUAUGUUAUCUUUAAAUCAUGGGGGACAAAAAGUGUAAUUACUUGCCCAGUGUCAACAUUUUUCUCUCGUCUCUCUCGCGACGUGUGUGGCCUAGAUAAUGCAUAUAUGUAUGUACAUAUAAAGUGUGUUUAUCAUUUAUUUUACUCUACUUGAGAGAUUAAACAGACGAAAAAAUAAAAAUAAAAGCAGAGAGAGAGGAGAAGACCGUGAGAGUGCAGGAGGGAGCUCAACCGGAGAGAGAUUUAAUUUGGACAUAGAGGUGAUUUCAUGGUAAGGUUUAAUAUUAGUUAUUGUGAUUGUGAACUAAAGCUUCAAUUACUAUUUUUGGGCUUAUAUGUUUUGAAUCUGUGAGCAUAUGCUUAUCUGUAUGUAUACGUACGUGUGCAUAUGUAGAUUGUUUUGGCUACUUGAUUGGGGCAUUGCAAAGCUACUGUUGAAGCCAUUGCUGUUGGAGUCUUUAAUGGCUCUCAAAGAGGAUAUUCUAUUCUAUGUGGUGGGAUGUGGGUGCUUAUGGUGCACCUUAACCUCAAUUAUCUUAAUUAGGCUUUUGUAGAGAGGGAAAGUGAAGAUUAGGUUUUGAAUUUCUUUGUUAUUUUUUGAAAAAAUUAGGGUUAUAUAUAUAUAUAUAUAAACGCAGCUCUGUUAUCAGAAACAAAAACAGAGCAAGAGUUUGGCUGUGUUGAAGCUAACCCAGGCCUGGAAAUAUCCAGUGUGGUCACGCCAUGAUAGCUACUUUACACCUUAGUGUAUUUUGAUCAAUCGGAUGAGGUUUUGACCGAGUGAGUAGUCGUUUUCUAUUUUUUUUCAUUGUGUUGGACCCGAUUUUGAGGUUAAAUUGGACUGAUUUUAUGCAUAGAAUGAUGUUUUAAAAAGUAGUGUUGAAAGAGUGCUAAAUAGACACAUUAGUGUAAUUUAACCUUAGAACUUCAUCAGUUUUUUGAAGCACGAUACAUCGAUCUAGGGGAACUGAUCUAGUUCUGAAUCUCUGAUACUAAAUGCAUGCGAUAAUUUUGUUUAUGCAUUGGUAGUUACUAUUUGAUUAUAUGGCAGGUUCUCUGAGGCUGCUAUGAGUGCCCCAAUUCCACCGAAGAGUAAUUUUGGCUCAAAAAUUGGUUUUGGGUGUUGUGGUGAGUGUACU